rnacentral:rRNA from 2 species
GAUACAUGCAAGUCGAACGCACUGACGUCGACCGAAGCUGCUUGCAGUGGACGUUGAUUGACGUGAGUGGCGGACGGGUGAGUAACACGUGGGUAACCUACCCUUAAGUGGGGGAUAACAUUUGGAAACAGAUGCUAAUACCGCAUAACCAUUCAGACCACAUGGUCUGAAUGUAAAAGACGGCCUUUGGCUGUCACUUUUGGACGGACCCGCGGCGUAUUAGUUAGUUGGUAAGGUAACGGCUUACCAAGACAAUGAUACGUAGCCGACCUGAGAGGGUAAUCGGCCACAUUGGGACUGAGACACGGCCCAAACUCCUACGGGAGGCAGCAGUAGGGAAUCUUCCACAAUGGACGAAAGUCUGAUGGAGCAACGCCGCGUGAGUGAAGAAGGUUUUAGGAUCGUAAAACUCUGUUGUUGGAGAAGAACAGGGACUAGAGUAACUGUUAGUCCUUUGACGGUAUCCAACCAGAAAGCCACGGCUAACUACGUGCCAGCAGCCGCGGUAAUACGUAGGUGGCAAGCGUUGUCCGGGAUUUAUUGGGCGUAAAGCGAGCGCAGGCGGUUUUUUAAGUCUGAUGUGAAAGCCUUCGGCUUAACCGAAGAAGUGCAUUAGAAACUGGGAAACUUGAGUGCAGAAGAGGACAGUGGAACUCCAUGUGUAGCGGUGAAAUGCGUAGAUAUAUGGAAGAACACCAGUGGCGAAGGCGGCUGUCUGGUCUGUAACUGACGCUGAGGCUCGAAAGUAUGGGGAGCGAACAGGAUUAGAUACCCUGGUAGUCCAUACCGUAAACGAUGAAUGCUAAGUGUUGGAGGGUUUCCGCCCUUCAGUGCUGCAGCUAACGCAUUAAGCAUUCCGCCUGGGGAGUACGACCGCAAGGUUGAAACUCAAAGGAAUUGACGGGGGCCCGCACAAGCGGUGGAGCAUGUGGUUUAAUUCGAAGCAACGCGAAGAACCUUACCAGGUCUUGACAUCCCUUUGACCACUGUAGAGAUACAGCUUUCCCUUCGGGGACAAAGUGACAGGUGGUGCAUGGUUGUCGUCAGCUCGUGUCGUGAGAUGUUGGGUUAAGUCCCGCAACGAGCGCAACCCUUAUGACUAGUUGCCAGCAUUUAGUUGGGCACUCUAGUAAGACUGCCGGUGACAAACCGGAGGAAGGUGGGGAUGACGUCAAAUCAGCAUGCCCCUUAUGACCUGGGCUACACACGUGCUACAAUGGUCGGUACAACGAGUUGCGAACCCGCGAGGGUAAGCUAAUCUCUUAAAGCCGAUCUCAGUUCGGAUUGUAGGCUGCAACUCGCCUACAUGAAGCCGGAAUCGCUAGUAAUCGCGGAUCAGCACGCCGCGGUGAAUACGUUCCCGGGCCUUGUACACACCGCCCGUCACACCAUGAGAGUUUGUAACACCCGAAGUCGGUGGGGUAACCCUUUUAGGGAACUAGCCGCCUAAGGUGGAUCCGG